rnacentral:rRNA from 1 species
CACGUAGGGUGCGAGCGUUGUCCGGAAUUAUUGGGCGUAAAGAGCUCGUAGGCGGUGUGUCGCGUCGGCCGUGAAAACCUGCAGCUUAACUGUGGGCGUGCGGUCGAUACGGGCAUCACUGGAGUUCGGCAGGGGAGACUGGAAUUCCUGGUGUAGCGGUGAAAUGCGCAGAUAUCAGGAGGAACACCGGUGGCGAAGGCGGGUCUCUGGGCCGAUACUGACGCUGAGGAGCAAACAGG